rfam:Oryza glumipatula chromosome 8, whole genome shotgun sequence.
UUUAAGUGCAGUUGUGGAUAUACGUAUCCAAUGUUUGACUGUCCGUCUUAUUUAAAUUUUUAUGAUUAGUAUUUUUAUUAUUAUUAGAUGAUAAAAUAGGAAUAAUACUUUAUGUGUGACUUAUUUAUUUAUUUUUUCAUAUUUUUUUAAAAUAAGACAGAUGAUCAAACGUUGGAAAAAAAACCCGCAAAUGCACUUAAA